rnacentral:tRNA from 1 species
UGGCUUAGUAGUUAAGAGCACUGGCUGCUCUUCCAGAGGACCUGGGUUCAAUUCCCAG